rnacentral:rRNA from 1 species
UACGUAGGGGGCAAGCGUUGUCCGGAAUCAUUGGGCGUAAAGCGCGUGUAGGCGGCCCGAUAAGUCCGCUGUGAAAGUCCAGGGCUCAACCCUGGGAUGCCGGCCGAUACUGUCAGGCUAGAGUCCGGAAGAGGCGAGUGGAAUUCCUGGUGUAGCGGUGAAAUGCGCAGAUAUCAGGAGGAACACCUAUGGCGAAGGCAGCUCGCUGGGACGGUACUGACGCUGAGACGCGAAAGCGUGGGGAGCGAACAGG